GCCUUUUACCACCUGUUUUGGAUAAGCAAGUUUAAACGCCGUUUCUGUUUAAUUGCGCAGUUUCCACCACGCCGGACUACUGUAACCCUGAUUGCACCAUUCCCGAAGGUCAACCGAUAGUCAUACAUCCCCGGGACAAAGAAAGCCUUCCAUAGGAAGGCUUUCUUUUUUCGUUUAUUACAGUCAGUUCGAGGGGUCAUUGGGAGCAGCCAGACGAGCCAGGCGGUGGCAGCGAGUCAGUGUGGUCUUCAACCCCCCUCAAUCCGGUUCAAGUCAACCGCGGAUCUAAUCUCGCCAACAUCGGGGAAGGCACCCGGCGGCGUGCGUCAUAUGAUCACCGAUUAGACGGAUUCGGAGCGAUUGGCGGUUCUCGGCUGGUGCAGGAAGGAAGCGAUUAUCCGGAGGGACGAAACUAUCCGCUAGGCAGAGCAGCGUCAGAGAACUGCACGCGGUCUCGUGGGUGUCGUCAGUU